GCCCCUGAACGCCCUUUCCUCCUCCCGUGGCCCACCGAAACAUGGCGGCCAAGAUCUUCUGUUGUUGCUGCAGGGCUGAUGAGAGGCCUCCUCCCACUGUUGGCUCCAGGACUCCAAGAAUGUCGCAGCAGCAGCAGCCGCGGUCCCUCAGUCUAAACAGAAAUUCCCACCAGAACGGUAUGCUGAGGAAACGCUCAGGCCUCCCCGCUGACAAGCGGGUGAUGCUCAAGGUGUUCCCGCUGGGCCGACCCUGAGCAACCUGCUAGCCGGCAGCACCCACGCGGGUCCCUAAGGCUACGCAGCUGCUGGAGCACCCCCAGGAGGAAGAGGGUGACGGCCAGGAGUCAUGAAGACCGAUUCAGAAACUCCCCCAGAGGAGGAGAAGACGUCUGAGCCAUCCUUGUGCCACCAGCAAAAGUCGCCCCCGCUCCUGAGAAGCUGCCACGGGAGGAGCUGCCUCCAAUUAAAGUCCUUGCUCGCAUCAGA